rnacentral:rRNA from 1 species
UACGUAGGGGGCGAGCGUUAUCCGGAUUCAUUGGGCGUAAAGCGCGCGUAGGCGGCUUUGCAAGUCUGAUGUGAAAGGCCGGGGCUCAACCCCGGGACUGCAUUGGAAACUGUAAAGCUAGAGUGCCGGAGAGGUAAGCGGAAUUCCUAGUGUAGCGGUGAAAUGCGUAGAUAUUAGGAGGAACACCAGUGGCGAAGGCGGCUUACUGGACAGUAACUGACGUUGAGGCUCGAAAGCGUGGGGAGCAAACAGG